UGUUUUUUGUGUUUCCUUUUGUGUUUGAGCCAAGCAAAACCUUUAUGACUAGUCUUGGUAAUGGUUGUUUGAUCCUCCUGGAAAAAGACAGGAACUUUGCGCUCACGAGAUGAUUUUUCAUUUUUAUUGAGAAAGAGCUUUUGAGUUGAUUUUUUUGCUGCUGGUUUAUAUGCUUUUUCCCGAAGCCGUCGUAACUUUUGAGAGUUUUUG
rnacentral:lncRNA from 1 species